UACAGAGGUCUCAACCGUUGUUCGGAUUCAUUGGGCGUAAAGGGUGCGUAGGCGGCGGGGUAAGUCAGGUGUGAAAUCUCGGGGCUCAACCCCGAAACUGCACUUGAUACUGCCUCGCUUGAGUACUGGAGAGGAGACUGGAAUUUACGGUGUAGCAGUGAAAUGCGUAGAUAUCGUAAGGAAGACCAGUGGCGAAGGCGAGUCUCUGGACAGUUCCUGACGCUGAGGCACGAAGGUCAGGGGAGCAAACGGG
rnacentral:rRNA from 1 species